rnacentral:rRNA from 1 species
GGGAGGUAGUGACAAGAAAUAACAAUACGGGGCUUAAUGUCUUGUAAUUGGAAUGAUGGGAAUUUAAACCUCUUCCAGAGUAUCAAUUGGAGGGCAAGUCUGGUGCCAGCAGCCGCGGUAAUUCCAGCUCCAAUAGCGUAUAUUAAAAUUGUUGCAGUUAAAAAGCUCGUAGUUGAAUUUCUGCUGCAUUUCAUUUCUCUUUCUGAGUUUGUUUUUGCGGCUUAUUUCGGUUUGAUUUUUUCUUUCCGGAUGAUUACUUUGAGAAAAUUAGAGUGCUCAAAGCAGGCUUUUGCCUUGAAUAGUUUAGCAUGGAAUAAUAAAGUAGGACUUUGGUUCUAUUUUGUUGGUUUUAGGUACCAAAGUAAUGGUUAAUAGGAACAGUUGGGGGCAUUCGUAUUUAAA